rnacentral:rRNA from 1 species
UACGUAGGCACCAAGCGUUGUCCGGAAUUAUUGGGCGUAAAGAGCGUGUAGGCGGCCAGAUAAGUCCGCUGUGAAAUCUCGAGGCUCAACUUCGAGCUGUCGGUGGAAACUAUCUGGCUAGAGUCCGGAAGAGGAGAAUGGAAUUCCUGGUGUAGCGGUGAAAUGCGCAGAUAUCAGGAAGAACACCCGUGGCGAAGGCGGUUCUCUGGGCCUUACCUGACGCUGAGGAGCGAAAGCUAGGGGAGCAAACAGG